GCAGCUGGCCGGCCAUGUCGACGUGUCAGAGUCUGUAAUCACAGAGGAGACGUUUGAUGCACUUGUGCAGCUUUCUGAGGCCUCCCACUUAAAAAACACUGCAGUAAGUGCACUGCAGCUUCACCUCACUGACAGACCACCACAGCCCCCAUGCUGAGACGCCUCCGGGUUGCAGAGUCCCAGCACCACCAAGUGGAGGAUCUGAGUAUUGCACUCUGUGGUGGACGACGGCAGGGUUUCCAGAGAUGUGGAAGGAGGAUCCAAGAGUCUGAGGACUGGAGUUGCAGACAUGGGAUCCUCAAGAAUUGGUUCUCACAUUCCAAUCCUUAUGAUUUGAAUCCUGAUGGAAAAGCCCAAGAUCCUGGAUGCAUGUGGCUGAAGUGAGCUCCCUCCUUAGGGUGGCUGUUUGAGGCACCAAGUGUAAAAAGUACUAACAUGUUUUCAUUAUUGAACUCACUUUCUGAGUAGGUAAAAAAUAUCCACUAACAUUUUAGUAUUUAGCUUACUGUUCUUAAAUUUUGUUAAUUUUUAUUAAA